GGAGAUUGUUCCCUUCUCCUGUCCCUGUUCAGAUCCUGACACCUCCACAGGCUCUUCCGUGCUCCUCUUUGCCAAAGCUGGUUAAAGGAGAACAUUCGCUGUCACUCAUUGUUCACAGCCUGGUUUAGUUUCGAGUGCACUUACCUUGGUCUUUCUCUCAAAGGCUGCGGAGUCAGGGGCCAUCACAGGGGAGAGGGAUGAGGGGGAGAGGGAGGCUCUCUGGGUUGUUAUCCAUGGCCAGGAGGCAGCCUUUCCCAUUACUAGGUCAGCUCUGCCUAGAGGCCUUUAGCAGUUUCUCAACCAGUGUCCAUCUCCCUGAGAUGUGCUUGGCAGUCUCUGUCUGGAAGGAGGCCUGUGGUGUUUCCUCACAGGGGGUCACUGUGUGAUUGAAAGCCCAGGACCUCUUUAAGUAAAGUUGCCUGAUGCUUCCUGAAUGCCCAGGGGAGAGGAGGAAGCUGACAGAAGGAUGGAGAUCAGUAGAGAUCCCGCAGAAAGACGCCAGGUGGGCCUCACAGCUGCCCAGGGAUGAUCAGGCUUCCCUGCCUCACACCUCUCCUGUGAUUUGGUGGUUUGCAGUAGGGGCCAACCUGCUGGAAAAGAAUCUUGCUGAGAUCCAGAACCUGCGCCAGCACCUGGAGGCAUCCGUCACCGUCAAUGACCACCUGAGGGAGAGGCUUGAGCAUGUGCUCAGCCAUGGUGACCAAGGGAAAGGUGAACUUCAUUCAAGAGGAUGUCAGAACCUGCUUCUCAAUGUGAAUCAAGACCGAGAAGCCGGUAGCCGCUACCGCUGAGUAGCCGGAGGGACACCCGCCUUAGCCCGCCAUGGCCGAGAGCUACUGGGACACGGUGACGGUGCUGCGCACGAAGGGCCCUACGGCCGCCCAGGCCAGGUCCAAGCAGGCUAUCUUAGCAGCACAGAGACGAGGAGAGGAUGCAGAGACUUCCAAGAGAUGGGCUGCUGGCCAGAACAAACAGCAUUCUAUCACCAAGAACACAGCCAAGCUGGACCGGGAGACGGAGGAGCUGCACCAUGA
rnacentral:lncRNA from 13 species